CCCUUAGAUGUCCUGGGCUGCACGCGCGCUACACUGAUGUGUCCAGUAAGCACCUAACCUCUUCCGAAAGGAACGGGUAACCUUUGCAAAGCACAUCGUGAUGGGGAUAGAUUAUUGCAAUUAUUAGUCUUGAACGAGGAAUUCCUAGUAAACGCAAGUCAUCAGCUUGCAUUGAUUACGUCCCUGCCCUUUGUACACACCGCCCGUCGACUCUACCGAUUGAAUGGUUCGGUGAAAACUUUGGACUGUGGCAUUGUCCUUCAUUGGACUUCGCCGUAGGAAAUUGUUUAAACCUCAUCAUUUAGAGGAAGAAUAAGUCGUAACA
rnacentral:rRNA from 1 species